UGAGGAAUAUUGGUCAAUGGACGCAAGUCUGAACCAGCCUAGUUGCUUGCAGGAUGACGGCCCUAUGGUUUGUAAACUUCUUUUAUAUGGUGAUAAAGUGGGGAACGUGUUCCCUUUUGCAGGUACCAUAUGAAUAAGUACCGGCUAAUUCCGUGCCUGCAGCCUCUGUAAUACGGAAGGUUCGGGCGUUAUCCGGAUUUAUUGGGUUUAAAGGGAGCGUAGGCCGUUUGGUAAGCGUGUUGUGAAAUGUAGGAGCUCAACUUCUAGAUUGCAGCGCGAACUGUAAGAAUUGAGUGCGCACAACGUAGGCGGAAUUCAUGGUGUAGCGGUGAAAAGCUUAGAAAUCAUGAAGAACUCCGAUUGCGAAGGCAGCAUACGGGAGCGAAAAAGACGAUGAAGCUCGAAGGUGCGGGUAUCGAACAGG
rnacentral:rRNA from 1 species